rnacentral:rRNA from 1 species
AUGGGCGGAAGCCUGAUCCAGCAACGCCGCGUGAGGGAUGACGGCCUUCGGGUUGUAAACCUCUUUCAGUACCGACGAAGCGCCCGUUGUGGGUGGUGACGGUAGGUACAGAAGAAGCACCGGCCAACUACGUGCCAGCAGCCGCGGUAAUACGUAGGGUGCGAGCGUUGUCCGGAAUUAUUGGGCGUAAAGGGCUCGUAGGCGGUUUGUCGCGUCGGGAGUGAAAACMCCGGGCUUAACUCGGUGCUUGCUUUCGAUACGGGCAGACUAGAGGUAUGCAGGGGAGAACGGAAUUCCUGGUGUAGCGGUGAAAUGCGCAGAUAUCAGGAGGAACACCGGUGGCGAAGGCGGUUCUCUGGGCAUUACCUGACGCUGAGGAGCGAAAGUGU